CACAGGGCUGGAGAGCAAGGCCAGCCAGAUUGCGCUGCUUCACACUAGGCUGUGGACGCCAGGGGCAGCUGUCUCCGGUGGAGCGACCGCCGCCCAGGAGAUGCAGGCUGCUCCUGCCCACGCGUUCCCGAGGUUUCAGUUCCUGGUGAUCAGC